CGCGGCGCUUCGGGCCGAGUUUGGAGCUGUUUGGCUGCCGUCGGGGCUGUAGGACCGGAGCUGGCCGUUGUGUAAGCAAGCAGAAGCGAGUUUUCAUUAGCAACUCAUUUUGCACGGUACAGCCGUCACAGGGUCAUUGCACAAAUAAAAGCCAAGCAAGGCAGACGAGUUACAGGACUGCCUAUGUAGACAAAAGAAUUCGCUGAAGGCCACGGAACCUGAGGCCGGGCAGCGUCUUGUGACUCCCAGUCUGGUGCUUUGACUGCUGACUGCUCCCGCUUUACAUGCUGUAAGAUCAACAGAUUUUGGUACAACCAGAG
rnacentral:lncRNA from 1 species